GGAAAGUCUGGUGAAGAAGUAUCCAGACAGUUGGCAUGUUCAUUUGCCUGUCAGUGUGCUGCGCUUCAACUGCAGUGUGCACCCAGAAACCAAAUACAGACCUCUGUCCCUUCAUCGCAGUGAGGGAACUAAACCUUAUACAUCGCCAAGAGAUCAGCCACUCAGUGAAGAUGACCUUGCGAAAUACACCUUCAAAAUCCAGAAACCAAACCCUUUGAAAGAAAUUGAGGCACUAAAACGAAUAUUCCGAGAAUCAGCGGACUGCAUUGUUGUUUCAUAAAGCGAAAAAACAGUGUGUCUAUUGUAACCGGUGUGUGACUUCAAACUGAAGGUCCAGUGAGGAAAGGAGCUCAGUAAAGACUACAUGGGCGAAGGAUGAAAAAUAACAAGCCAUUAAAAGUCAUAGAG